UACGGAGGGUGCGAGCGUUGUCCGGAUUUAUUGGGUUUAAAGGGUGCGUAGGCGGCUUUUUAAGUCCGGGGUGAAAGCCCGCUGCUCAACAGCGGAACUGCCCUGGAUACUGGAGAGCUUGAGAGUAGAGGAGGUUGGCGGAAUGGACAGAGUAGCGGUGAAAUGCAUAGAUACUGUCCAGAACCCCGAUUGCGAAGGCAGCUGACUACACUACAUCUGACGCUGAGGCACGAAAGCGUGGGGAGCGAACAGG
rnacentral:rRNA from 1 species